GCCAGACUCCUACGGGAGGCAGCAGUGGGGGAUAUUGCACAAUGGGGGAAACCCUGAUGCAGCGACGCCGCGUGGGUGAAGAAGCGCCUCGGCGCGUAAAGCCCUGUCAGCAGGGAAGAAAAUGACGGUACCUGAAGAAGAAGCCCCGGCUAACUACGUGCCAGCAGCCGCGGUAAUACGUAGGGGGCAAGCGUUAUCCGGAUUUACUGGGUGUAAAGGGGGCGCAGACGGCGAUGCAAGCCAGGAGUGAAAGCCCGGGGCCCAACCCCGGGACUGCUCUUGGAACUGCGUGGCUGGAGUGCAGGAGGGGCAGGUGGAAUUCCUAGUGUAGCGGUGAAAUGCGUAGAUAUUAGGAGGAACACCAGUGGCGAAGGCGGCUUACUGGACGGCAACUGACGCUGAGGCUCGAAAGCGUGGGGAGCAAACAGGAUUAGAUACCCCAGUA
rnacentral:rRNA from 1 species